GACGGAGGGUGCAAACGUUGUUCGGAAUCACUGGGCAUAAAGAGCUCGUAGGCGGCCCGCUAAGUCAGGUGUGAAAGCCCUCGGCUCAACCGAGGAACUGCACUUGAUACUGACGGGCUCGAGUCUGGUUGGGGUGAGCGGAACUCCAGGUGGAGCGGUGAAAUGCGUAGAUAUCUGGAGGAACACCGGUGGCGAAAGCGGCUCACUGGACCAGCACUGACGCUGAGGAGCGAAAGCUAGGGUAGCAAACGGG
rnacentral:rRNA from 1 species